rnacentral:lncRNA from 1 species
CUUGCCAACCGCGUGGUCAAGUUUAGAUUAUGCAACUUGAUUAAAUGUGUAUUUGAACAACCUAAGCAAUUACGGACCUAAAUCAUUCAAACAAUAUUACUUAAGUAAUUUAAAAGCAAUGGGCCCUUAUUGAUUCUAAAAGCAAAGUAAUAAUUAUGGAAAAGAUCAGUUUGCAUAAAUAUUGAAACAAACAAGAGUUCAACAAUGGAGUAUUAAACCUCCCAAUUCAUCACAAAUCUGAAUAUUCUCAACUUCAACUAGAAAAGAAAAGAGUUUAGCCACUCAUGGUGGACUAAAUACAAAAAAGAUGAAAGGAAAGGAAAAAGGAAGAUGCUGGAGAGUUUCUGGCGAGUUCAAUUCCUCAGCCGAAGAUGCCUUUGCUGGUUUGGAGGCUCUCCUUUUAUAGCUGCAAAUUUCCAUCCAUCUAGGGUUUCAAAAUCCCUUUUUGAUUUGGUGUUUGACUCCUCUUUUGAUGUUGAAUUUAAUUGCAAUUGGAAUUCCUUGGAUGAUAAGUUCUUUUCGUGGCUCUUGGAUUUGUAUUGAUAGUGAUUGAGUUGGAUUUGGACUUCUGAAAAUUCGGAUUUCUGUUUUCUGCCCAAAUUCCCGCUCUGCUGUCAGUUUCUGUUGUGAAAGUGAUUUGCCCGGUGGUUUGACCAGUUUCUUCAAGUGAUUGGGCAAAUCACUGACCAGAUCGCUUCUCUGUGAGUCAGUCCUCUAUGUCUCUGCGAGUGAUUUGGCCAGUGAUCUUCGAGUUUCUUGGGCAAAUCACUGCCCAUAUCACUGCUGUCUGUUGCCUCCGGGUUUCUGCUUUAGCUUGAUCUGGGCAGUGAUGGGAGCAGUUUAGCUGGUGAUCUUGGGCAAAUCACUGGGCAAAUCAUCCUUCUGUACUUUUUCUGCACUUUUUCUCCCAUUUUCUAAUUUCUUCCUUUUCUGUAAAAACAAGAUAAAAACCAUAAAUUAAACUGAAAAAUGUGUAAAUAAGCAAUAAUACUUAUGAUAAAAAUGUGGCUAAAUUAUGCUUGAUCAAAUACCCCCACACCUAGCUUUUUGCUUGUCCUCAAGCAACAAAUAACUUAGCCAAUCAAGCCCCCUUUUUCCUUAGAGCCUAAGUACCACUUAAUCAGCCCCCCCUAGACUCCUAAUCUGAAUUAUCACAGUAUAGAGUACAUGCACUAAGGUCAUCCUCUCCUUUCCUUGUUUCCUUUCACCUACCAUGGUCAAGGGAAAUGUUUUUGAUUCAAUCAUGCUUAUUCUUUUAUGUUAGGUUUAAUGUAACCCCUAGGAGUGACUUGCCACCUUCUCUCUUUCUCCUUUUUAUUUAAUUUUUAUUUUCAGCAGCACUUAUUCUUAUCCUUGCCUGAAAAAGUCACUAACCUUUUUA